GACGAACGCUGGCGGCGUGCUUAACACAUGCAAGUCGAACGGAAAGGCCCUGCUUUUGUGGGGUGCUCGAGUGGCGAACGGGUGAGUAACACGUGAGUAACCUGCCCUUGACUUUGGGAUAACUUCAGGAAACUGGGGCUAAUACCGGAUAGGAGCUCCUGCUGCAUGGUGGGGGUUGGAAGGUUUCGGCGGUUGGGGAUGGACUCGCGGCUUAUCAGCUUGUUGGUGGGGUAGUGGCUUACCAAGGCUUUGACAGGUAGCCGGCCUGAGAGGGUGACCGGCCACAUUGGGACUGAGAUACGGCCCAGACUCCUACGGGAGGCAGCAGUGGGGAAUAUUGCACAAUGGGCGGAAGCCUGAUGCAGCAACGCCGCGUGCGGGAUGACGGCCUUCGGGUUGUAAACCGCUUUCGCCUGUGACGAAGCGUGAGUGACGGUAAUGGGUAAAGAAGCACCGGCUAACUACGUG
rnacentral:rRNA from 1 species